rnacentral:tRNA from 1 species
GCAGUGGUCGAGCAACGGUUGCUCAGCGGACUGUAAAUCCGUGGCCUUUGGCGUUGGGGGUUCGAAUCCCUCUCACUGCA